GAUCAACGCUGGCGGCGUGCCUAAUACAUGCAAGUCGAGCGAACGGACGAGAAGCUUGCUUUUCUGAUGUUAGCGGCGGACGGGUGAGUAACACGUGGAUAACCUACCUAUAAGACUGGGAUAACUUCGGGAAACCGGAGCUAAUACCGGAUAAUAUUUUGAACCGCAUGGUUCAAAAGUGAAAGACGGUCUUGCUGUCACUUAUAGAUGGAUCCGCGCUGCAUUAGCUAGUUGGUAAGGUAACGGCUUACCAAGGCAACGAUGCAUAGCCGACCUGAGAGGGUGAUCGGCCACCCUGGAACUGAGACACGGUCCAGACUCCUACGGGAGGCAGCAGUAGGGAAUCUUCCGCGAUGGGCGAGAGCCUGACGGAGCAACGCCGCGUGAGUGAUGAAGGUCUUCGGAUCGUAAAACUCUGUUAUUAGGGAAGAACAUAUGUGUAAGUAACUGUGCACAUCUUGACGGUACCUAAUCAGAAAGCCACGGCUAACUACGUG
rnacentral:rRNA from 1 species